GUUGGUUGACCUCUAGCCAGGAGGUGGUGCUUUCAAGAGAGCAUCAGCUGUGGUACUAUAGAGAGGAUACAAGUUUGCCCUAGGGUUGCCUGGAUAAGUAUUCGGGUUUCUCAGGUGAUGGGCAGGGCCAUAGAGCUCCCAAGAGAUUAUGUCCUUUGUCUUCUGCUACCAGGGCAGGUAGAGAAAGACCAUCAGGUGGGGGCAGGGUUAGUUGUAUCUGAGUUCAGACUCUUGUUGGGUGGGGCUUGCUGUGACUGCUGUGGGGGAUAAGGGUGUGGUUCUCAGGCCAAUGGAGUUAUGUUCCCAGGGGGAUUAUGGCUGCCUCUGCCGUGUCAUACAGGUCGCCAGGGAAGUGGGGGAAAGCCGACAGUGACAGGUGUUACCCAGCUCCCACGCAGCUGGAAAGGCUGGUCUCACUGUCAGCAUGCUCCCCCAACAGCAUCAAGUUUAUUUCCAGGCAGCAGGCGAGCAGGGCUGAGAACUUGUCCCAGGCUACAAGCCUCCCUGCUGACAACAGAAGCAGGGCUUUCAGGUUUUAUGCCUCUCUGCCUGCCACAGCUUCUGUGCUUGUAUCUGCACUCCCUGUUUGACCCCCUCCCCAGAUUCUGUCCAGGAAACUUCAUGUUCGGUAGAAAUUGUUAUAAAAUUCAACUGGAAGUUUUCCUCUCCCUCUGGUUUUUCCUCAAUUCCACUGGCAGCCCUCCCCAAGUUGCAAGAUAAAGACAGAAAAGGCUUCCCUGAGGACUGAGAGUGCCCACAGGGCUCUUGCUGCUGCUUUCUCUACCCCUAUAUUUUGUGCGGCUCUCAGCAUUUGUCUCAGCUCCAGAAUCCAGAGCCUGACUGGCUGUGACGCGCCCAUGGUGACACCAAGGGGACUCUGCAUGGGCACAUCCCGGCCCUCCUCCCUGCAUGUUCUCCAAGCCAGGUCUUUGAAACCUCCAGUGAUGGGAAUGACAGAAUCUGGGAUGAUUUUCUUCUGUUUCUUAUCUAAAAAAACAACAAAAAGCUCAGCAUACACGGACUCACACAAACCUUUUGCUAGAGGCAGCUCUGUAGACUUAAGACGCUGUCAUUUUUCAGAAGAACCCAGCUUGCUUUGGAACUACAGUCAGCCCUGCAACCCACCCUCACCUUGGACCCUGCUGCUGCUGUCUGUAAAGGGUCUGGAUGAAGGAAGGGAGCCUCCAGCUUGUCGGCUGUACUUGCCCAGAAUUUAGCCUUUGCAACAUGGAGCUGCGGGGAUGGGAAAUGUUGUCCACUAGCCUUCCACAAUGCUGCGAUGAAUACACCUGUGCAUUCUUUUUUAGAACAAGUGUAAGAAUUCCUAUGUGGCUGGACGGUACUGCUGCCAUCUCGGCUCACUGCAACCUCC
rnacentral:lncRNA from 1 species